UCAAUCUCAUCUCCAUGGCCCAAUGCACCGCAGUAGCCUUUUCCCCAUGUAUAAACAAAUCCACUGGAAUCGAGUGCCACAGCAUGUUCAUCUCCAGCAGACACACGAACCACGUGAAUGCCCUUUCUCCUAAAGGUCUGAACUGCGCGAGGCAGGAACUCAUUAUGCUGCUCUCCAUGACCAAGACAGAAAUUAGAACCAGAUCCAAAAGAGUACACUGCCCCAUUAUCAGUAACAGCUAAGACAUAGCUCGGACCUGCUGC
rnacentral:misc_RNA from 1 species